rnacentral:rRNA from 1 species
CUACGGGGGGCUGCAGUAGGGAAUCUUAGACAAUGGGGGAAACCCUGAUCUAGCCAUGCCGCGUGAGUGAUGAAGGCCUUAGGGUUGUAAAGCUCUUUCGCUGGGGAAGAUAAUGACGGUACCCAGUAAAGAAACCCCGGCUAACUCCGUGCCAGCAGCCGCGGUAAUACGGAGGGGGUUAGCGUUGUUCGGAAUUACUGGGCGUAAAGCGCGCGUAGGCGGGCUAUUAAGUCAGGGGUGAAAUCCCGGGGCUCAACCCCGGAACUGCCUUUGAUAUUGGUAGUCUUGAGUUCGAGAGAGGUGAGUGGAAUUCCGAGUGUAGAGGUGAAAUUCGUAGAUAUUCGGAGGAACAUCAGUGGCGAAGGCGACUCACUGGCUCGAUACUGACGCUGAGGUGCGAAAGUGUGGGGAACAAACAGGAUUAGAUACCCCAGUAGUC